rnacentral:lncRNA from 7 species
AUAGUUUCAAUUGACAGUGAAAGAGCGUGGAGGGUUUGGGCACUUCAGUGGGUGCAUCACUGGCCUUGUUGCAGUUCAAAGACAGGCAAUAUUGGGUAUGGUGCUGAGGCCAGGAGUUGCAGUUUAUGCAAAAGCUUGGCGUGUUCCAAGGCAGACGACCCUGGUUUACAUUUGCUCGUGUCAAAGGCGCUGCAUGCUACAGACAGAGCAGACCGAGACCAACAGAGUGCUUCACAAAUACUGAUGGAGAGUGAAAAUGCAAAAGGAUAACUGCAGCGUCUAAAGGGAAAUUGUCCAAGCACAGGAGAAGAGGCAUACUGGAAAGAGAAGAGCCUUCGUUCCUAGCUGGGCGGCUCCAGAUUAUUCACUGGAUAAUCUUCCUCCAGUAAGAAGUGUCUUGAACUGAAAGGCAUCUUUGAUCGACCACUCCUUACCGAAGUGAUCAAAACUUUGUGCGUAGAAACUGUUUUGUUCCUCAUUGCUAUUGCUUAACCUCGGUCAUUUGCAUGCUCUGUAUGGCAAAUGUCAGCAAGAGGUCUAUGGACUUGCCAGACUGAAGUAUCCACUCAGACAGCAUUACAGUGUCACUUCAGACCUUCUUCGAAGGCAUCACACCGCGGCUAAUUAAUUUGAGGGCUUUGUUACAGGAGGGAAGGCAUUUCCUUAUGGAGAGAGGCUUCCUUUACCAGUGGUGUUUGCUGGAAGGAGCAGGGCAGGAUGGGCCCAGCAGCAAAGGAGGAGAUAAGGGGCUGUUCCUGAGGGCGGAAGUUAGCACUGCCACCGUGCAUCCAUGCGGGUAUCUGGUCUGAGAGGUCUAACCCUGAUCCCAUGCCCAUGGAAAUCAAUGACAGGAUUUCUGCAGACUGUUGAAGGGGCCAUCGAGAGGCUGAGGAGCAGCUAACAGCCCAGCCUGGCACAAACAGUUUGUACUGCAGUACCCACAUGUGCCACACACUGGGCUGGACAGAUCCUGAGCUCUGUGUGGGUGAGGGAAAUGGGCCUCAGACAAUCAGGGCCUGGGGGUCGAGAGCCUGGUGGUCAAUCUAUUUUUCUUAGAUGACAAAGAUGUAGUUACCAAACUGAGACUGCCCGGAGGUGCUCAGGCUUGGUGGGUUUUAUUGCUGGAGCCUCAAGGAAGCAGCCCAGUGAUGAGGGGUCUCCCUGCUUUGUCCCCCAUUUUGUGCAUCUUCUCCCUUUGCUUGCUGAGGUUUCACCUCAGGCCUGCCUCCACUUUGAGAACACUGAAUAGCUCUUAAUGACAGCAGCACAAACAAAACCAUAUAAAGACAGGAUUUGUGAUUUACGUGGGGUUAAUUACCACAACAAGUAUGUUUAUUCACUUCUCUAAUAAAUCCUGAAGACAGGAACAAGUACUAGCUUGACCAGAUUCAUCCUGUGCAUACGUUUUUACAAAUCUAUAUGUGCAGGAUAGAUAAAAAAGAGACGAAGUAUCUCCCAUCAUGUAGGCACUAACCCAUAGCCCAUGUGUGCUCUUCAGCCUGCCGAUGGCGUCAUCAUUUACUUCAGAUCUUCUUGAGGAAAAUAGGCUCUUUUGUGACUUUUGCAAGUCCUUUUUUUUUUUCUUUUUCUUUUUUUAAGGAAAUAAAUGGAUCGUAAAUGAGCAUUAACUACAUCAGUGUGAUCUAUUGCUCUGACACCUAUUUGCCACAGGAGGAAGGUGAGGUCUCCAUUUGUCUCUGCUAAAGGAAUGAGGUAUUUCUAACACGAGGUUAGAAGGCUGCAGUGACAGGAGCUGGGCAUGCCCAGGCCCUGCGGUGUGAAGCUGUGCUUCAGUGAGGGCACUCCAUAGCCCAUCACUCGCUCACUAACAGAAUGACUUGGUUCCAUCAGUCUGAUUUACAGGAGAGGGAACUGAUGUAGAGAAGUGAGCAGUGCCAUUGGGAGCGUGUGUUUUUAAGUGACAGAUCUCCGAGUGACUUCAUGUAGACCAGUGUUACUCAACAACGUCCUGUUUGACUGUGUUCUGAUAUAUGUCGGUUGCAAGAAGGUUUUCUUGACCUGCUGAUUCUGCUUCAGCCAUCUUCCAUGUUUCCAGUGUCCGUGUCCGUGUCUGGCUGACUGCAGUCCCUGAUUUGCUAGAGAAGUCGUUGCCAUGGCUCAGCACCGUGCCAGACGGGGCCCCCGCCGCCCUGAGGAAUUUGUGUCAGAUAGAACAUUUCGUACGAUGCAGAAGGUUCUGUCACCUUGAUUCGAAGGAAGUUGUUUGUGUUAAUGCUUAAAGGUAACGUGAGACGAGGCGAGCUCUUUACUUUGGAACACGCGCUGUGCCAUUGAUGUGCGCAGUACAGUAAAUAUAACAAAGAGCGCACUGUGGUAUUUACACCCACCGCAAACACAUUUGCAAAAUAGGAUUAUUUGCAAUCCAAUAAAAUGGUACUGCUU